CGUGUAGGCGGAGAUGCAAGUUGGGAGUGAAAUGCAGGGGCUCAACCCCUGAACUGCUCUCAAAACUGUAUCCCUUGAGUAUCGGAGAGGCAAGCGGAAUUCCUAGUGUAGCGGUGAAAUGCGUAGAUAUUAGGAGGAACACCAGUGGCGAAGGCGGCUUGCUGGACGACAACUGACGCUGAGGCGCGAAAGCGUGGGGAGCAAACA
rnacentral:rRNA from 1 species